GAGACACACGAAGGAGCAAAUACGGUAGGGAGCAGGAUUGCUCAGUCCUGGCCGGGAGCCGGAGUUUUGCCAACCGAGUCACCCGCAGCCCAGCACUGAAGCCAUCCGGGUGCCGUGGGCCGGGAUCGUACCGCGUAAGUCACCCGCGAAGCCGCUCGCUUGUGCGUGGAGCCUGCUAAGCGCCGGAUGCCUCUGGUUGCGCCCCAGGGAGCAACUGGUUAAUGACGGCGCUGUCGUUACCGCGCUGCUACAAGAGCUGUAAUACAACAGGAGAGAUGAGAGCAGCGAGUGUGAAAGGCCCGGGGAAACUCAGCAGAGCAGAAAGCUGAUACGUAUGUAUUAGCCAAUCUUUAUCGCACCUUCCUCCAGCGGUACCUGGUGCAAAUACAGCACCAAAGCGGAGCAGAACCGCCGCUCGCAGCCGCCGGUGCGGGGCCGGGCUGCUCGCUGGGACGGAGCUGCGUGCACGGCGCUGGGACCGGCGCGGGAGAGGGGACAGCAGCGGCGAGCGAGCGGGGCCACCGCCAGGGAAGUGCAACGUGCCGUGACCUCCCUCUAAUUCCGACCAACUGCUGCCAUCAGCGAGCAAAUGGCCGGUGUAACGGCAGGGGCGAGUUUGGGGGAGGGACUCGCGCUCCCCCAGGAAACCGGCUGAACCAGCUCCAGAGGCCCCGGGUACAAACCGCAUUCGUCACUGCUUAAAGGCCGCCUCGGGAAACCGAGUUCGGUGGGUGCCUCGUGCCGUUGGCAGAGUCCUCGUUCUUGGAGCUUUGCCUUUCUCCAGGGGGACAGUGACGGAGCCACGCCGUCUUCCCGAUUUCUCUCGGGCUGUUUCUGCAAUCCCUGCCGCCUGCACGACCCCGGAGCAGCGGGGACCCCCGGGCUCUGCUAACUCCAGUCUCAAGCUGCUCGGAAAAGGGAAAGCGGGGGCCUUUCCCAUGCUCACUGGACCCUGCAGCACGCCACGUGCUGCCAACCCAGCCCUGCCUUGGGCUAACGCCCGUGCUGUCCCGCGGCAACCGCCGCUGCCGGCCAUCCCGCUCGCCCAGCGCUUCUCAAAAAGGGUCUGAAGCACCUUUAGCCCUCCGCGUUUUAAGGGGAAACAAAUCAGGGGGAUAAUUGCUUAAAUUAAAGCGAUUUAUGCCAUUAAGUGACUCUUACCAUAGGCCUUCCUCAGGCAUUCGAGUGUAUUUUUCGUUAGCGCUGCAUAAUACAGUAAUUGCAGGGAUAGGAAGGAAGUUGUCCUUCCCUUGCAAAGUAGCGCAAACAUCGACUGCCCCCUUCGCCUUGCCCCGCUCCCGACGCCCCGGAGCCUCCCGCUCCCGAAACCCCUGGAAUUCAGGCGCCGAGACCCGAUGCUCACGCAGGGGCUGCCGGCGGCGUCGGGGACGGACGCAGCGCUGCUGCCGCGGGAGCGCAGCACGUCCCGGCUUGGAAAGCCGAGUGCCCCGGCAGCGGAGCAAGCGGGGCGCAGCGGGGACGGCCACGGCAGCGGCAUGCGGCUCUGCAUCCGAGCUCCCCCUCAUGGCUCCGGCGCAGCAGUGCCGACCCCGCGGCGCCAUCCCGCCCGCCGGCACGCUCCCGCGCGGCCUCCCGUCAGCCAGGAGCCGGGACAAACUCCGGCCUGGGAAAUCGCCCUGUGCCGAGUGGAAAAAGGCCUAAAGCAGCGGAGAGAGAAAAUCGAUAUUCUGCAGGUUCUGCCAGCAAUUUGCACACAAUGGGAAGCAAGCGGCGAAUAAGGAACUGCAAACAAAAGCGACUUUUCUGGGUGCUUUUAAGGACGCAGCCUGUUUCUGAACGAUAAGCGGGGAGCCGGAGCCGGCAGGUCCUGCCUGGAGGAGCCCGCGAGCUGCCCGGGCGGUUGCUCGCUCCCAUACCGGAUCCAGUCCCCUAGCUCGGGCUUCUCCAUCCUCCAGAGCCUUUCUCCCCAAACGCUCUGCCCCUUGGGACUGCUCGGCAAUCCCAGAGCAUCCCACCCCGGGAGCAUCCCCCGGCUCCCUCCUGCUCCCAGUGGCGCUUGGACCGCGGCAUCCCUCGGGGGCAGUUUUGCAACCAAAAGCUGGUCAGACUUAUUCUGAAAGCAUUGAAACGUGAGAUGCUUUUAUAACUCUUUGUCAUCUCUCUCCUUGGCCAAAGCUAUUUGCCAAAGCCAGCUUUGGCUGCUCAGUAGUGCUGGCCCUCCCAAACGCCGCCGGAGAGCUGACCACCCUGCGCGGUGGAAGGCCCCCUUGCCCGGCCUCGGUCGCUGGCUGCUUGCAGCAAUACACCUCAUAUCUCUGCGGCUGCUUUCCUCCUAACUUUUGCUGGGGCAAAGCCGCAUCUCCAUGUGACUUUUGCAGAAGGAUAGCAAGCUGGAGCUGGGUAUCCCGCAGAAGAACGCACGCCUCCCGUUUCUGCGGCAAAGUCAAGGCGAGGAGCAGCUAGGUGCUCCACGGAGACAGCCUCUGCAGAGCAGCUCGCGUACGCGCUGCAUUUAAUAGAGCUGUUUGUUUUCAAAUACAGCCUAUGCCAGUGUCAGAUGGCAUUUGAGGGACUGGUAUUGAGCCAGACCCAACAAAUCUAUUCUUUAUUGUCAGCCCAGUGUUUGCUUCCAUGAACUAAUUAGGGGAGACGAGACAGCGCGUCGGGGAGGGAGGAGGGAGCGGGGAAGCGCGUGACGUCCCCGCGGGGCUCGGCCACCGGCAGCCCGAGCUGACCCCGCUCCGCGUCGGAUGGGGCCUCCCCUGGCCCGACACCACGGACAACGGUCGAGCAAGUCCUCUGCAACGGCCCGGCCUUUCCCAGCACCUCGGUGCACAUGCAGAGAUGUUUCCCUGGCCCCAGGACACGUCCCACGCACCCACCGGCCCCGACGCGCUCCUUCCCCGGCCGCCGCUGCCUCCUCUUCCUCGCCAAGCAGGGCGCACCGAGGCUCCCGCGGCGCCAUCAAGAGCAAAGCCAAGACUUUUGUUGGCGUCUCAAGAAAGGCGCAACCUCUCUGCAUCCCCUUCACCUCCCUCAUUCAUCACUGUCACAUCUGUAGAGGUUUUUUAUUUAACAACCAAUUUAUUUCCAAUUUGACUAAUCUCGGUGUGGAGCAUCUCGCGCAGGCUCACCAAAGGCGCCGGAGCUGUAAAUAGACUCGCCAGCCACGCCGGUUAAUACAAACUCCCAUCAAAGCACGUCAGGCAGAGGAGAUGCUGCAGGGAGAUUGCAGGCCGCUCGCAUAGGCAAGCGGCCGCGGCAAGCAGCCCCUCCGCCGCCGCCUUUACGCCAUCCAGAUUUAUAUAUUUGCCUUCUGGAUCGCCCCGGCUCACCUUGAGCAGGCCACAAGCGCUUUUGCAAGCAAUUUAUAGGGCGAUAACGCGGAGGGACGGGGGGAGCCAGGCUGGGGGGCAUCGGAGCAGGGAGCCGUAUUUCUCGGGACCCGCUGCACCGCCCGGCUCGGCACCGCGCUGUUGGGCCCUUGCCGGCACGGGCAUGCCGCGGCCCUCGGUUGCUCCAGAUAAGGGAAAUCUAACCAGAUAAAGGUGCAGCUAAUCAGAUGGCUACAAGCUCCCGGACCGCUCGAGGAAUCCAUAUCGAUCCGGGCAAGAUAUCAAAUGUAAAAUAAAGGAUUUUGCUAACUGCG